GCAUCGAUGAAGAACGCAGCGAAAUGCGAUAAGUAAUGUGAAUUGCAGAAUUCAGUGAAUCAUCGAAUCUUUGAACGCACCUUGCGCCCCUUGGUAUUCCGAGGGGCAUGCCUGUUUGAGUGUCAUUUAAUUCUCAGCCUUAUUAGCUUUUGCUUCUAAUGGUCUGGAUGUGGGGGUCUUUGCUGGUUUCGCAAGAAAUCUGCUCCCCUUAAAUGUAUUAGCCGGUGCCCUACGUGGACUGUCUACUGGUGUGAUAAUUAUCUACGCCGUUAGAUGUCUGCUUUAAAUGGGAUGCGCUGCUUCUAAUCGUCCUUUCAGGACAAUUAUUGACCAUUUUGACCUC
rnacentral:rRNA from 1 species